rnacentral:misc_RNA from 1 species
CAGUUGGUUAGAGCGCGCGCUUGAUAAGCGUGAGGUCGGAGGUUCAAGUCCUCCCAGGCCCACCACUCCUUGAUCUCUGCCAUCUUCUUGGUGGUUCUAUCGGGAAAAACAAUCAGGGGCCGUAGCUCAGCUGGGAGAGCGCCUGCUUUGCAAGCAGGAUGUCGUCGGUUCGAUCCCGUCCGGCUCCACCAAUAACGCGCGAUCCGCAAGGAUCGUCGCGCCGCGCGAUCGCAAGAUUGCUGCGUUGGUGUUGAGAUGAGGUGAGAGAAAAGUCAUUCGAAAAUGAGUUUGCGUCGAGCCUCGUGCUCUGCGCCUGUUCUGUUUGACAUUGUAAAGAGAAGAUUUGUUCGAACUUCAUGAUCCGCAAGGGCCGUGAUUUGUCGCAAGGGACGCUCAAUCCCUUGCAUAUGAUGGGUUUGCCUAACCGCACCCUCGAACCGAUCUCGAGAAGCUGGUCUUUUUGUGCCAAUUCCAUUGAAGCGCAAUCCCGAAGGGAUUGUCGCUCAAGUGCGACGAUCCUUCGGAUCGCGCUUAGCUAAGCCCGCAAGGGUUUGGCUGAAGCGACGAUCCCCGCGGGAUCGCGCGGAUGGGUAUUGGCAAUGAGAACGAUCAAGUGUCUUAAGGGCAAUUGGUGGAUGCCUUGGCAUGCACAGGCGAUGAAGGACGUGAUACGCUGCGAUAAGCUACGU